ACUUUACGUCCUUGAUAGCUUCUGUUGCCGCCUCUCUCUGAAAUUCGUGGUUUGUUUUCGUAGUAUCUAUAUCUAUCUUUGUUUACCACGUGAUUUCGUUGACGACCGUGAGUGGCUCCAACCGAUCUCUUUCCCUUCGAAUAACCUUAAAGGCUGUUCUGGGAAAUGUAAACUUAUGCAUCGUGCAAAGACUGGCAAGCAGUAGAAUAUGUGAAACAAUGCGAUAAAAGUAGGUCGAGUUAGAGAAAAGAAUGACGAAUACGAACUGUGGAUAAUAGUUUAUUAAAUUGUCGGAAAUGCCGCUAUGAGAAAUUCUUGAAAAGUGGCGGUUAAACUUACAGGAUAUACCCUGUUUAUAUUAUUUGAAACACGCGUUUGAGAUUGAAAUAAUACUGCACUAUUUUAGGUAGUAUAACAAUUCUUCAGAAGAGUUAUAUGCAUCCAUCUAUUACAGAUUAUCUAUGCUAAUAUACAUGAAAACUUAUAAUUUUUUGCAAAAUAUUUAAUAUUUGAUUAGAUAUGUAGAUAAAAAUAUAAGCAACAAUAUUUCAGUAGUAACGGUAACAGGAAAAAAAUGAAACUAUAAACUUGGUAUAGUAGAAACAUCGUAUCUAUAAUAAAAUUGUUAAUCAUUAGUAGAAAUAUCAACAAAAAUUUAUUAUAUUUACAUUUAUUGUUUCUAGCUAAUAUACUAACAAUAUAACUUUUAUAUAACAUAACUUUUUAUAUAA